GAUGAAGAACGUAGCGAAAUGCGAUAAGUAAUGUGAAUUGCAGAAUUCAGUGAAUCAUCGAAUCUUUGAACGCACCUUGCACCCUUUGGACUGCUCCAAAGGGUAUGCUCGUUUGAGUGUCAUUGUACUCUCACACUCUCUGAUCCUUUGGAUUUGGGGAGCAGUGGACUUGGGUGCUUGCUGCUUCCUUGUGGCUCACCUGAAAUGCAUCAGUGCAUCUCUCGAUUGGACAUAGUACGGCGUGAUAAGUGUCUUCGCCGGCACCUCAUAUGAGGGUGGCCGAUCGGGAGCUCUGUGCUUUCAAACCGUCUUCGGACAACGCUGACAACUUGACCUCAAAUCGAGUAGGACUACCCGCUGAACUUAAGCAUAUCCAAUAAGCGGAGGA
rnacentral:misc_RNA from 1 species